UGUAUUUUAGUAUAAGAUGUACGUAAGUUUUUGAUACUUAAUGGGAUAGUUUAAUUCUAUCAAAUACAA
rnacentral:tRNA from 1 species